rnacentral:rRNA from 1 species
CACCAGGUCGAGUUGUAAUUUGUAGAUUGUAUCUUGAGAGCGGAUUAAAGUCUGUUGGAACACAGCGCCUUAGAGGGUGACAGCCCCGUAAAAUCUAUUCUCAUUGUAAGAUACUUUCGAAGAGUCGAGUUGUUUGGGAAUGCAGCUCUAAGUGGGAGGUAAAUUCCUUCUAAAGCUAAAUAUUGACGAGAGACCGAUAGCGAACAAGUACUGUGAAGGAAAGAUGAAAAGCACUUUGAAAAGAGAGUGAAAAAGUACGUGAAAUUGUUAAAAGGGAAGGGUAUUGAAUCAGACUUGGUGCUGUUGUUCAACUGUGUUUCGGCAUAGUGUACUCAGCAGUACUAGGCCAAGGUGGGGUGUUUGGGAGUGAAAAA